rnacentral:rRNA from 1 species
UACGAAGGGGGCUAGCGUUGCUCGGAAUCACUGGGCGUAAAGGGUGCGUAGGCGGGUCUUUAAGUCAGGGGUGAAAUCCUGGAGCUCAACUCCAGAACUGCCUUUGAUACUGAAGAUCUUGAGUCCGGGAGAGGUGAGUGGAACUGCGAGUGUAGAGGUGAAAUUCGUAGAUAUUCGCAAGAACACCAGUGGCGAAGGCGGCUCACUGGCCCGGUACUGACGCUGAGGGACGAAAGCGUGGGGAGCAAACGGG